rnacentral:rRNA from 1 species
CAUACGGACGCAAACACGUCUCUGGCGCCCAUCACUAUAUCCAUACCAACCCCUGUGCACUGUGAUGACGAAUGUCAUCGAACAAAAAAAACUCGUAUGGUUGAAUGUACGUGAAAUUGUAGGUAUAGCCUACGAACUAUACACAACUUUCGACAACGGAUCUCUUGGUUCUCCCAUCGAUGAAGAACGCAGCGAAACGCGAUAGGUAAUGUGAAUUGCAGAAUUCCGUGAAUCAUCGAAUCUUUGAACGCACCUUGCGCUCCAUGGUAUUCCGUGGAGCAUGCCUGUUUGAGUGCCGCGAAUUCUCCCUCCCCUUACGGUGGCCGAAAGGCCGAAGUAGGGCGGACGGGGUAGGAUGGGUGUUGCUGCCUGGGGAUUGUACCAGGCUCGCCCGAAAUGCAUAAGCGCCAGGACCCUCGCUACCGCUCUCUAGGGAAGAGUGGCUAAGCGACCGCUGAGCAUGGCAUGAUACGUCAUUUGCUGUGUGUGGGCGGCCGGUUGGAGAGGUGUCUGCUUUACCAGCCCUUUUUUAAUUCUGGUCUCA